AUUGAACGCUGGCGGCAGGCCUAACACAUGCAAGUCGAGCGGAUGAAGGGAGCUUGCUCCUGGAUUCAGCGGCGGACGGGUGAGUAAUGCCUAGGAAUCUGCCUGGUAGUGGGGGAUAACGUCCGGAAACGGGCGCUAAUACCGCAUACGUCCUGAGGGAGAAAGUGGGGGUUCUUCGGACCUCACGCUAUCAGAUGAGCCUAGGUCGGAUUAGCUAGUUGGGUGGGUAAAGGCCUACCAAGGCGACGAUCCGUAACUGGUCUGAGAGGAUGAUCAGUCACACGGGAACUGAGACACGGUCCAGACUCCUACGGGAGGCAGCAGUGGGGAAUAUUGGACAAUGGGCGAAAGCCUGAUACAGCCAUGCCGCGUGUGUGAAGAAGGUCUUCGGAUUGUAAAGCACUUUAAGUUGGGAGGAAGGGCAGUAAGUUAAUACCUUGCUGUUUUGACGUUACCAACAGAAUAAGCACCGGCUAACUUCGUG
rnacentral:rRNA from 1 species